UUCUCUGAGGGGAGUCCCGUUGCUGGGCAACCAUUGUGAGGGGCCAGCAUUGUGGGCACCUCGCUGCACAGGUGACACACAGAGGCCGAGACAUGUGCCAGUCUGGAGAGGGGUCACAGUGAGGCAGGGGGCCUGUGAGGAAGUCCCAUUAACUUCAGGGCUGAGAAAACAGGACUGACCCUCCAGGAAGGGCCUGAGCUCUUGGGGCCCCCAGGAGACCAGCAGCCCCUGCCUCCAGGAAGUACUUCCUAACCAUAAAAAUGAAGUAAGGUGGCCGGGUGCGGUGGCUUACACCUGUGAUCCCAGCACUUUGGGAGGCCAAGGCAGGCGGAUCACCCAAAGUCAGGAGUUCAAGACCAGCCUGAUCAACAUUGUGAAACCGUUUCUACUAAAAAUACAAAAAUUAGCCGGGUGUGGUGGCAGGAGCCUGUAGUCGUAGUCAAAGCUACCUGGGAGGCUGAGGCAGGAGAAUCAUGCCUGAACCAGGGAGGUGGAGGUUGCAGUGAGCUGAGAUCACGCCACUGCACUCCAGCCUGGGUGAAAGGAGACUGUCUCAAAAAAAAAAAAAAAGGGCCGGGCACGGUGGCUCACGCCUAUAAUCCCAGCACUUUGGGAGGACAAGGCGGGUGGAUCACGAGGUCAAGAGAUCGAGACCAUCCUGGUCAACAUGGUGAAACCCCGUCUCUACUAAAAAUACAAAAAUUAGCUGGGCAUGGUGGUGCACGCCUGUAGUCCCAGCUACUCGGGAGGCUGAGGCAGGAGAAUUGCCUGAACCCAGGAGGUGGAGGUUGUGGUGAGCUGAGAUCGCACCACUGCACUCCAGCCUGGGUAACAAGAGCGAAACUCUGUCUCAAAAAAAAAAAAAAAAAAAAAAAAAGGGAGGGAAGGCUGGGCACUGUGGCUCAUGC